AGCUCCUGGCUCUCAGUUGGUGGAGCAUGUAACUCUGGAUCUCGGAGUCACAAGCUGAAAGCUGGACUUCAUGAUACAACAACACAGACUGAUGUUGACAGUCUGUAUGCCUGGGAUAACCAUGCCUUUUCUUCUGUGAGGCCUUUACUAAGGAAAUUUAAGAUCCUACUGCCGCCCGAGAAACCGAGAGACAAUGCCAUGCUGCCUGUCUUUACCCCGAGACCCCUCCCCCUCCUUAAAUGUAUAUUAAUAACUUCUCCGGUUUCUGGAAAAGAGGAAAGAACUAUGGCUUUAACCUAAAGCUAUCCUGACUGCGGACACACUGCCAGACGGACUGGCCAACAUUCUCUGGGACUGACUAGCCCCAGAGAGCUCCUUUAAUCUUAACCUUGCUUCUUCUGGCUUCCCCUCCCACUUUGUUUCUGCACCUACUUGGGUGUGAUAUGCCUCAGUGUCUCCUCCCAGCCUCAGGGGCUAAGAGCAAAAGGCACUCCCAGGGACAUCUAGGUCUUGGGAGCCGGGAAGACACUCUUAUCUUUCCUUCCACCUUGGAAAUGGCGUCACCUGUCUAAACCUCCGGAGGUAAACUAGUUUAUCAUCUAAAUUUUGAAUGCACACGUGCUUUUGCCUGGGGUAUUAAAUGGAGGUCUGGACACAUGACUUCCCACCCCAGGGCCACACCGAGAUGUCAGUCGGGCCCUUUAGUAAACCU